ensembl:lncRNA
ACAAGAGGGCGCUCUACACACUCAGUCCUAAUGGAGACGAGUGACAGAAGGGAAGGUGUGCACCAUGAAAUGGUUUCUGGUACACAGUGCCUUGGCCUCAUUUAGAAACGAAGAACGAGCUUCAGUCUCGCCUCUAAGCUUUAUGAAUCACCAGAUGCUUUAUUUCAUGAAUAUGGACCUUGUUUUGUUUUAAACUGCUCUAAAGCUAAAAUGAUGUAGCUUCCUCAGAGACGUGCUGCUUGGCAUGGUAGAGGAAAUAUUGUGGAACAGUAUUAGGAAUGUUGACGAUUGAGUUACUGUAGCAAAUGUCAAGAACGGACCUCUGUUAUAGACUUUAUUAUUAUUACAAGACAAUAAGAUCCAACAAUAAUUUCAAGCGGCCUUCAGGAAUUCAACUACAACUUCAAGAUCCACAUAAUGAUAUGGUUGGUUUCAUCAGAUGGCCUACACUUGAUGAAUGAGGACAGCAGCUGAUAUGAAGAUCCACAGCAAGUGAACCUCACAGCCCUUUAUUAACAGGUCAACAGUUGAGACAUAAAGCAUGUGUUUCUGGCUUUUGGUGAAGAGCACAGACAGCUUUGGAAGCACUGUUCAUGAAAAAUGGAAGCUGCAUUGUCUUCCCACUAACACAGCUCAAAACAGCCUUUAGUUACUCCCUGUAUCCACCUUUGUCAUUGGUUUUCUAGAUGUGCAUUAAUGUAUAUCUCGACAUUUCUAUAUUUUGUUAACCAUAGCAUUUUUCCAUGUAAUUGUUUGUUUUUUUUUGGCCGGCCCAAAUCGUGAUACAGCAUGCAUGCUGAAACCAAUGAGAACGUGUAGUUCUCAGAAAAUCUUUGCAUUUCAGAGGACGAGCUGCUUGAAAGAACAGUUUUACAUACUAUUGAUUUGAUCUGUGAUGAAACACUGUUAAAACCUGACAUGGGUGGAAUGGGAAUACAUUUGCAAUGUAUGAAAAGCCAAAAAGAAAAGGGAAAAAUGCAACCUUUCUUUAUUGUACACUACAAAUGUCAAUAAAAGC